rnacentral:rRNA from 1 species
AUUGAACGCUGGCGGAAUGCUUUACACAUGCAAGUCGAACGGUAGAGGGGGGCAACCCCUUGAGAGUGGCGAACGGGUGAGUAAUAUAUCGGAACGUGCCCAGUCGUGGGGAUAACGUAGCGAAAGUUACGCUAAUACCGCAUACGAUCUAAGGAUGAAAGCGGGGGAUCGCAAGACCUCGCGCGAUUGGAGCGGCCGAUAUCAGAUUAGGUAGUUGGUGAGGUAAAGGCUCACCAAGCCAACGAUCUGUAGCUGGUCUGAGAGGACGACCAGCCACACUGGAACUGAGACACGGUCCAGACUCCUACGGGAGGCAGCAGUGGGGAAUUUUGGACAAUGGACGCAAGUCUGAUCCAGCCAUUCCGCGUGCAGGAUGAAGGCCCUCGGGUUGUAAACUGA